AACGAACGCUGGCGGCAUGCCUAACACAUGCAAGUCGAACGAGACCUUCGGGUCUAGUGGCGCACGGGUGCGUAACGCGUGGGAAUCUGCCCUUGGGUUCGGAACAACAGUUGGAAACGACUGCUAAUACCGGAUGAUGACUUCGGUCCAAAGAUUUAUCGCCCAGGGAUGAGCCCGCGUAGGAUUAGCUUGUUGGUGAGGUAAAAGCUCACCAAGGCGACGAUCCUUAGCUGGUCUGAGAGGAUGAUCAGCCACACUGGGACUGAGACACGGCCCAGACGCCUACGGGAGGCAGCAGUGGGGAAUAUUGGACAAUGGGCGAAAGCCUGAUCCAGCAAUGCCGCGUGAGUGAUGAAGGCCUUAGGGUUGUAAAGCUCUUUUACCCGGGAUGAUAAUGACAGUACCGGGAGAAUAAGCCCCGGCUAACUCCGUGCCAGCAGCCGCCGUAAAAC
rnacentral:rRNA from 1 species